rnacentral:rRNA from 1 species
GCAAAAGCUCAAAUUUGAAACCUUCGGGAUUGUAAUUUGAAGAUUUAGGCAUUGGAGAAAGCUAACCCAAGUUGCUUGGAAUAGUACGUCAUAGAGGGUGACAACCCCGUCUGGCUAACCGUUCUCCAUGUAUUGCCUUAUCAAAGAGUCGAGUUGUUUGGGAAUGCAGCUCAAAGUGGGUGGUAAACUCCAUCUAAAGCUAAAUACUGGUGAGAGACCGAUAGCGAACAAGUACUGUGAAGGAAAGGUGAAAAGAACUUUGAAAAGAGAGUGAAAUAGUAUGUGAAAUUGUUGAUAGGGAAGGAAAUGAGCGGAGAGUGGCUGCGGUUUCAGCUUUCCCUUGGGAUUGUGUACUGCCAACGCCGAGUCAUUGUCAGCGAGACGGGGUGU